rnacentral:piRNA from 1 species
UGGAUAUUUUCUAGCUUACAUAAACAAUCC